rnacentral:rRNA from 1 species
UACGGAGGGUGCGAGCGUUGCUCGGAAUCACUGGGCGUAAAGCGUACGCAGGCCGUUCGUUAAGUCGGGUGUGAAAGCCCGGGGCUCAACCCCGGAACUGCGCCCGAGACUGGCGAGCUUGAAUGCGGGAGAGGGAAGCGGAAUUCCUGGUGUAGAGGUGAAAUUCGUAGAUAUCAGGAGGAACACCAGUGGCGAAAGCGGCUUCCUGGCCCGACAUUGACGCUCAUGUACGAAAGCGUGGGGAGCAAACAGG